rnacentral:piRNA from 1 species
UAACAACCAGUUUUUCAUUUU